CGAUAGAGGGGGAUACCAGUUGGAAACGACUGUUAAUACCGCAUAAUGUCUACGGACCAAAGUGUGGGACCUUCGGGCCACAUGCUAUCGGAUGCGCCUACGUGGGAUUAGCUAGUUGGUGAGGUAAUGGCUCACCAAGGCGACGAUCCCUAGCUGGUUUGAGAGGAUGAUCAGCCACACUGGGACUGAGACACGGCCCAGACUCCUACGGGAGGCAGCAGUGGGGAAUAUUGGACAAUGGGCGCAAGCCUGAUCCAGCCAUGCCGCGUGUGUGAAGAAGGCCUUCGGGUUGUAAAGCACUUUCAGUGGGGAGGAAGGGUGUUGUGUUAAUA
rnacentral:rRNA from 1 species